rnacentral:lncRNA from 1 species
GGAGGCUCUGCUACUUGUGUGCCAUGUCUUUGGGCCCAGGAAUCCCGAAGGAGGCCGAGGCAUCAUUGUACUUAGGUCUGUCCUCUCUAGGUGUCUCCCAGAGCAACACCUUCAAGGUCUUAUCACCUCCCUGGGUACUCCCUGAAACGGGUGUGGAUGCGAGCUUCCCACAGGACUUAUAUGCCUCUCUUCAUUCUCCAAAAUAUGUUUCUCUGUGUUAUGGGCUGAACUUUGGGCUCCUCCAAAUUCGUAUGUUGAAGUGCUACAGCACCUUAGAAUGUGACUGUUUUUGCAGAUAGGGCCUUUAAAGAGGUAAUUAAGUAAACAUGAGGUCAUCCAUGUGGGCCGUAAUCCAAUAAGCUUGGUGUCUUUGUAAGAAGGGGAGAUUAGAACACAGGGAGAGACACCAGACAGAUGCAGCCCAGAGAGAUGAGCAUGUAACACACAGCAAGAAUGCAGCCACCAGGCAAGCCAAGGAGAGAGCCUUCAGAAGAAACCAACCCUGCCGACACCUUGACCUCAGACUUCCAGCCUCUAAAACGAUUGAAGACAAUGCUGAUCAUACUAUCAACCAUGAAGGACUGUGCUGAGGAUUGAAUGAGAAUACAUUCAGGCCACGGAACACAGUGUGUAUAUAUUACACAUGCUCCAAAAAGGCUAGCUGCUACUAUGAAGUUGGAUAAAUUGACUCAGGAAAGGGCAGAAUGAACUUGAUAUUGUGACUGUACAUUUCAGAGAGGCCCCAAAGAGCAAAUAUUCAGAUCACAGCAUUCACUCCCGGAAUAAGCAUAUUCGAAAACCCUUUCUUUGUCAAGCACGAUACGUGGAGGGAGACUCAUUCUGUUUCAGAAAGCUGAGAGUUAAGUGGCCAAGAUAACCCCAAAAGACAAUCCUAAUAGAUGUGGUGGACACAACAGCAGAAAUAUGGCCACAGGUGUCACAUUUCCAGCUUCUUCGGGAAGAAACAGUGUGGAGUAACUGAA